rnacentral:rRNA from 1 species
GAUGAACGCUGACAGAAUGCUUAACACAUGCAAGUCAACUUGAACUUCGGUUUGGGUGGCGGACGGGUGAGUAACGCGUAACGAACUUGCCUCACAGAUAGGGACAACAUUUGGAAACGAAUGCUAAUACCUGAUAUUAUGAUUAUAUGGCAUCGUAUAAUUAUGAAAGCUAUAUGCGCUGUGAGAGAGCUUUGCGUCCCAUUAGCUAGUUGGAGAGGUAACGGCUCACCAAGGCGAUGAUGGGUAGCCGGCCUGAGAGGGUGAUCGGCCACAAGGGGACUGAGACACGACCCUUACUCCUACGGGAGGCAGCAGUGGGGAAUAUUGGACAAUGGACCAAGAGUCUGAUCCAGCAAUUCUGUGUGCACGAUGAAGUUUUUCGGAAUGUAAAGUGCUUUCAGUUGGGAAGAAAAAAAUGACGGUACCAACAGAAGAAGUGACGGCUAACUACGUG